rnacentral:rRNA from 1 species
AACGAACGCUGGCGGCAUGCCUAACACAUGCAAGUCGAACGAGACCUUCGGGUCUAGUGGCGCACGGGUGCGUAACGCGUGGGAACCUGCCCUUAGGCUCGGAAUAACUCCCCGAAAGGGGUGCUAAUACCGGAUAAUGUCUUCUGACCAAAGAUUUAUCGCCUUUGGAUGGGCCCGCGUUGGAUUAGCUUGUUGGUAGGGUAAAAGCCUAUCAAGGCUACGAUCCUUAGCUGGUUUGAGAGGAUGAUCAGCCACACUGGGACUGAGACACGGCCCAGACUACUACGGGAGGCAGCAGUGGGGAAUCUUGGACAAUGGGCGAAAGCAUGAUCCAGCAAUGCCGCGUGAGUGAUGAAGGCCUUAGGGUUGUAAAGCUCUUUUACCCGGGAUGAUAAUGACAGUACCGGGAGAAUAAGCACCGGCUAACUCCGUG